CUCCCCCGCGCCUCCCCUCCCCUCCCCCUGCUUCCCCAUCCCCUGCAAUCCGCACUCGACGCGAGUUCACGCUAAGGGCUGGAUUUCCAGGCUGCACCGCGACUUCGCUGCGCGUUAUUAUUAUUCAUCGGAGGUGCAGCCUUCACAACCUCUGCCUCCUGCGCUCCGCUCCUUCCCCGGGACGCCGCCGCCAGCAGCGCAGUCCCUCCUGCACGCACGCUCUGGUUCACCAAAGGGAGAUUCUGAAAUUUUUUUUUAAUAUCAUGUUCAUGACCAUCAUCAUGAUGCUCCUUGUCACGGUUAUCAUUUCCUCCUGCCAGGUGGAGCGACCACCAGCGCCUUCUCACCGCCCGCCCCUUCCGUUCCCUGGCGAGGGAAGCAGCUCGGGCUUGGCCCCGGCGGCCGCUCCCCGGAUGCGGACUUCGCCUCUCCGCAUCCCUCCCUCAUCCAUCUGCAUGUGCAUUCUCUCGCUCCCUUUUAUUCCAGUAGAUCUACUGCGUCUGCUUGGGUUGGCUGGAAUGCUGCGGACCACGACUAGUCCCCCUUUAAAAGGAGAAGCAAAAGCCGAAGACCUUGCGUCGACGUCAGGACAAAGCACCUGGCGCUCGGAGAGAAGGGGAGUGCGAGAGCGCUGGCCCUGGGACGCCGAUGGGCUCCACCACCUAAGGGCUCCCGCCCGGCGCGACCACCUCUGAGGGUACUUGGAUUCAAUUCUGCCUGUCCUUUUGGCAUGCUUUAACCGUGUGGUGCUGGGGAGCGGCUGGAUUGGGUUAUUUUUGUUUCCCCCGGGAGGGGUGGCUGAAUCGAGGGAGACCCUGCUGGAUUUCAGCGAGCUCCCUCGUUCCCUGGCCUCGCCUUGCCGACUUACGGAUGUUGAGGAGACUGGGGACCAAGGCUUGGAAAAGCAGCCGGUGCGGCUGGAGGGCUGAGGGAGUUAGAGGGCGAGGCGGAGGGGAGCAGGGCGAGCCAGUCGCUGGAGGAGUGCGGAGGAGAGGGAUCUCGCCCGCUGCGGGCCGCUGCGUGAGUUUGGUGGUGCCUGCGGACGGGAGCCCAGGGAAACUGACAGGUCCGUGUGCGCGCACUCGGCGGCGGCCGGAUCUGUGUGUAAACAAAGUGGAGGAGGUCGGAGGGUCAGAGCUUAAAAGAACGUCUUAUUGUCCCCCUUGGCUUCGGGGACCCGCGUCCUCUGUCUUCUCUCCCCUUUUUUGACCCGGGGAUGCAGCCGCAUUAUAUACGGGUGACCUUUAAAAUCUACGCCCACCCAUUACCUGGUGCAGCCCGUUGACAGUUGGGGGUGGGGUGGGGUGGGGAGUGGAGGGGUGUUUCUCUCUCCCUUUCUCUCUCCCUCUCCCCCACCAGCUCCCCCUCCUUCACCCCCUCCACUCCAUCUCCUCCUCCCACCUCCCUUGCUCCCUCCCUCCCUGCUGCAUUUUGCAUGAGCUAUCUAGGUCAUUAGCAUUUUAGCGUAUGCAAGACUUGACAAAGCUGAUGAGGGGCCAGAUGGGCCUCGCUCUUAUGGGUUUUUUUUCUUUUUUCUUUUUUUUUUUUUUUUCCCUCUUUUCCUUUUUCCCCUCCACCACUUGGGACCCGAGCGAGAGGACUGCAGCAGGCGAGUUCCGGAAGGCUGAUUCCCCAGACCCUGGCCCCUACCGCGGUUGUUCGCCCCAGCGGCACGCCCGGCCCGGCUGCGCCCGCACUCGCCUAGCGAGGAAAACGCCUGGAUACGGAAGGAUGGGGGACAACAAAGACCCUCUGGAAGCCGGCGCUGCUGCCUCAUUGUCUGAGCCGGGGGAGCUGCGGUAGGGAGGAUGCCGCGGCCCCUGCCUCCCGCGCUCCCCGCCCAUCCCUCUCCCCGCGCCCGGCGCGCACGCACACGCGCCGCGCUUGCUUUCUUUCUCUUCGCUUUCUCGUCCCGUCACCCCCUCCCUUUCUUCCACCUUUCCUUCCUUCCGUCCUUCCGGCUUCCUUCCUCAGGAGAAAGGCCUCUCUCUCCGUGUUCACAGCGGACCUUGAUUUAAAUGUCCAUACAAUUAAGGCACGCGGUGAAUGCCAAGAAUGGGGCUGGCUGAGCACCACGGGUCCGCGAGGGCCCGCCGAGAACCGAGCCUGGAGCCACCCAGCCGCGGCUUCGGGCGUGACGGGAGGGUCGCGGGCUCCUGCCUUGGAGGGUGCUCCGCACCGAAGCCCUUGGGGUGGGGAGGUGUGCGGCCGGUGACGGACAGGGGCGUGGAGCUGCGCACAGACCCGGGGAGCCAAGCUGAAGCUGAUGCGUGGCGGCAAUGUAGACCCGCGCGAGCACGGAUGGGUGGGGGCUCCUGUACCGCGGAUGGCUUCGGUGGGCUUCUUUUUUUCUGGGCUUGGGAUGCGUUGUACGUGGGUCAUCACCUUUCCCUGUGACUGUUUUUGUUCGGGGCUUAGGUUUGGGUUUCCCCUUUAAAAAUCCUAAAAUCUGACAAUCCCAGGCUGGGCCGGCUGGGCCUGGGCUUCGGAUAGAUUGUGUUGUGCCUGAGGUGGGGGGAGGGGGAGGGGCCGCCCUUUGCUGUGGAGCUGUGGGGGCUAUGAGCACAUGAAGGAAGGAGCCCCUUCAGGGGCACUCAGGAGCCCUUCGCCCUCCUGGCUGUUGCUAUUGCAAAUUCAGGCAGAGGGCCAGGAGCUGGGGGGGGGGGGGAGUACAGCAACCUGCAUAGACAGAGGAAAGGGGUGGGAUCCUUUUAAAAAUCUUGGAACAGGAGGAAGCACUGUGUGGACAGGUGGGACGCUAAGGAAAGACUGUCAGGGACUGGAAAGGACUCGGCAUCCCCCUCUUGAAGAACCAGCUUCCCAAAGCAGGCCUCCUCCCCAUCACUGUACCCCAAGCAGCAGCUGCUCCUGCGGGGUCCUUCCCCCUCCCCCCUCCCCAAAUGCUAGGUUGUCACCGCCCCAUCCCAUCUCCAGCUCUGUGUUAACCACGGAGCUGCAGGGACCGGUGGCAGGACCUAAACUCAUUAACUUCCAAGUGGAGAAAAUGGAGGAGGGGCAGGUCACUGCAGUAGAGGGAGGAGCAGAAAAAGGAGGUCAAGGGCUGGGUCUCCCUCCUUAGGAAGCCUGCGGCAUCCCUUCCCUCCCACGGCAAAAGUCUCGCCCUGCAAGGCCGUAGGGAUGCUUAGGAGAAUAGCUGGAUUCCUGACUCGAUCAUCAAGGCCUAAGAGAGUCAGCUGAAGCUUACUGAAAGCCACCUUAACCCAUUAAAUAAAUAAAUAAAUAAAUAGCCUAUCUCGCCCAUAAGGUAUUUGAGUACCUACAAUGUGCCAGUUGUGCACUUAGGAUACAUUAGGUUCCCCCAUUUGCCCUCCUAAGGGAGCAUUUGGAGUAAGACAGGCUAAGAUUCAAUGUACCGCACCCCAACUUGAUGCUUCCAGAACCUUCUCUGGGUCUGCAGAAUUGUGCCACCUCCUGCUCACCCUGCAGAGAGGAAGCUGCUGUGCACACCAUGCAGACUGCAGGUGCUGUGCUGUCCUGCCAGUCUCAGAAGGAAAGCUCGAAUACAGGACAGCCAGAUGAAUACCGGACCGCUUCUCUGACUCCUGGGCCCCGGCAAGGGGCUAUCCUUAGAAGCAUGCAUAGCCAUUGCUUUCAAAAUAUACCUCCCCUGAAACUAGUGCCCUCCUGAUCCUGGUGUCCCCGCUGCCCCCUUUUUGAAUAGGUUGAAUGGUCCUCCUCCUGUCUCUGCUCACUAAGAAGGCUGCUUUACAUUUCUUUUCGCCAAAUGUUUUGCCCCACAAACGUCCACAUUAGCAAGUCCCUUCUCAGUGAGUGCUUCCCUGUAAUUCCUGUAGAUGUAUCCUUCCCCGCUGUGCCCUCUGCUGAAAUCUCCAGAUGCCCUGCGCCUCCCCAAGCAGUGCCCUUUUAGGUGGAAACCUAACACGCAUCUCCCUGAGAGCUUCAACCGCAGGCCCCGCGGACAAGGCCUUCCAGGUUUCUGCUGCAGAGACUCUGCGAUGGGAGGGCGUAUUUUUCAGUUUCUGCCUUACGUAAACACCUGUUCCAGAAAGCUUUAAUGUGUGUGGGAGUGUUCCAGACUGGUGUGGUCUGUGUUCAUCCGUGUGGGUUUUUGCCUGUGUUCACCCAGGUCUCGUUACAAAGUGUGUUUUUCACGUGGGGCUCUGCUGGCUGAAAAUGGCACAGGUAAAAGGAGCGCUCUGCCCCGUGUGUAAUUGCAAGGCCCUCUGUGUGUUCACCAAACGAGGUAGCAGAGCGAAGGUCAACCUGAGCAUCCUCUUGUCCUCUGAAUUUGGGACCUAUCUAAGGCAUUUCUCUAAGGCUCAACAUCAUCUUCAUCCCUACCUGUCUAUUCAAACCCCUCUAAUUGCAUCCUGCGGCUUCAGUGAAGGAGAAAAUAUGUGAUUAUUAAAAUGUAGGACACAGUUGAGGCGGUCUGUCACCAAUAGGCUAAGAAGGUGCCCUCGGUUCAUGUCCGCCACCAUCACAGACCUCACCAUGACGCCGGCUACCGUAUUUCUCAAGGUAACGAUACCAAGAUACUUGAAGAAUGCUGUGAGAAUGUUCCAAUUGAGUAUAUGGCAGUACUCUUUCCCCUAACAAAGACAGCCCAGGUCCCUGUUUGAGCAGAAAAGAAUCUGACCCUUUGAACAGAGGCAAAGGUAAACUUUGAAUUACUUCUACUGGCAAAGGAGAGUGGGGGCAGCUUUUUAAAAACAUAAGGAGCUCCAGCCAGAUAGAUAUUCAGGGGAAGACUAGGCAGUAGGCAGAUACUGAUACACGCACACAUACACUUUUCCCCAUAACCAUAUUCCUUGCUAAUGUUUGUAAGAAGUUAUUUAACCAUGGAAAAAUCCAUCCAUCUAUCUAUACCAUCUCCGCAGGGAAAAUGUCUGUUUCCCUCUCCUGAACUUACAUAAUAUUCCCACUCCACCUCCCAUUCCAGCCCUAGAAUGGAGUCCUCUGGGGGCAGCUGCCAAGUGUUCUCGCUAGGACAGAUGGAGCCUCCCCUUCCUCAUCUACUCUGUGGGUGGCUUGUGAGCCUCAUGAGUCAACAGGGCCUGACUGAGCAGAGUUGUGCUGGUGGAUGUGUUUGAGGCUUGGCUAGCUGAUUCACACUGUCAAUAAUAACAACGGUGAAAAUGAUGGCACCUAAUAAAAGAUGUUUUUCCUUCCAA